AUGAUACCCCUUUCUUCUUUAUGUAACCGGACACACCUUUCCUGCCCCAUAGUCCCUGCAUUGGUCUCAUUUAUCCAUUUAUCUGACCAUAGUGUAUUUAAUUCGUGCUACUAUGUGCCAGGCACUGUGCUGGGGACUGGGGAAACAAAGAUAAGCAGUGAAUGGCCCUCUCAGUGUCCGAAGGGCCACCCUGGCGAUCCACAGCUAAUCUAUGACAACUGGAUCACUUUGUCCUUCACCACGGCAGUGCUGGGCAUUCCAUCCACAGCCUUAAACAUGCUGCUACAUAGCCACUGACCUAAUCCAUCCCCUCUCAUCUGGACUACAACAAGAAACUCUAUGCUCACCUCCUUGGCACUGGACAUAGUCCUCUCCAAUUCAUACCUCAGAGUCUACUGCAAAAUGUUCAUCACAGUUUUCCUUUGCUUGGCUGCAUCAAUGGCUCACCAUGCCUUAUUACAGCAUAUAAAGUACUUUCUUCAUUUUAAAUUUCAACACCAUUAUAACUCACCCUUCUGACUCUCCUUUGUAUCUGUCCCAUAUGCAAAAUUCUUACCGAAUGUUGCCCAUUGAAUGAAUGCACAUCUCCCUCUCAUGCUUAUGGAACAGACCAGGUCUUGUUCUUUAUGACUGAGCUCAAAUAUUAAAAUAUCUGUGAAAUUCCCUUAUUUGACUUCUAAGUGCAGAAUAAGAUAUCUCUCCAUCAUGUAUCAAUAAUACCCACUCUUCUGUGUAGACUCUUCUAUGACAGUACAUUAUCAAUAGUAUGUUUCAUUGCACUGUCUGUAAAAACAUCU
rnacentral:lncRNA from 1 species